UUUUAGUUAUAUUGUAUUGUAUUGUAUUGGUUAUUAAAGGGUCAGACUGCACUGCAUUUGGCUGCUAAACAUGGACACAGAGGCAUCAUAUAUACACUCAUUGAGGACUAUUCUGCUGACAUUUACACUCGAGACUAUGCAGGACGGCAGCCCAGGGAUAUCGUGAAGGCUGGCGUAUCGCAGGAUACGAAAGAGAUCUUGGAUUGCAAAGCUGUAGAACCAGAGAUCGCUCACACACAAUCAUCCGACGGUCUAAUGAAAUGUACGAACGGUUGCAGCAGCAUGGGCGACUUGACCGACUUUGUGAAGCCUCCACUCAACAAGAAGCAGUCUUUUGGCUCAUCGAUAUUACGAGCCAGCCUGCGCAGAUUGAAAGGAAGCAGAGACGAAAAGAAAAAAGCAAAAACCAAAAUUGAAAUUAAUGUCAUCACCAGACCAGAAUAUGCUGAUUGGGUACGGGAACCGCCUAUCAAGCAGUCAGCAUCUGAAGGGAACAUUGACAGUGUGGAUUUAUGAUUCAUGUCUUUCCCCUAUACCGAGAAACUUUAAUAGACAGAUUUUGUAUGGUACAUGUAUGCACACUUAACAAUGCUAAGUAAUGGAGGACGGAAGCUGACUUACAAACGUAAUUGCAACGAGAUAUUUUUGGUUCAUUAGCAAAUUAGAUCAUCAAGAUGUUAUAGUAGAGUUAAAGCAACAUACAUAAGCUCAGAGUUGA